rnacentral:tmRNA from 1 species
GGGGAUGAUCCGGUUUCGACGGGGGUUGUCGGGGACAGGAUAAGCGAGCCGCGGACCCUGUACCGCGUAACAACGGGGAAAAACAAGAACUGACAAUAGCGAUUUCGCUUUCGCGGCCUAACGCCGCGACGCCAGCCCGGCCUGCCCGCGUGGCCGGUUCCUGACGUCAUUUACGCGGGGAACGAGAACGCCUAAGCUUUGUAGCGUGCUUGUAUUCAUGAAGCUACUGAUGCCUUCAGCCUGUCCGCGGGCGUAAGGCGGAGGGAAUGUUAAAUCACGGACUGCGCUCGGAGAAAGUCCUGUAAACGAGCCUUCGGACAGGAGUUCGACUCUCCUCAUCUCCACGU